rnacentral:lncRNA from 12 species
AAAUGCUAUAAUUCAUCAUGUGAACAUACUCUAUGCUAUUUUACAUGGGAAUUGGAGAGUAAAAAAGUCCAUCAAAGAAGUCAGUAACAAUCUUCUGUAAGGAUAAUUGUAACACUUUAAAACUGCACAAAUUUAUGUGCAGAUGGCAAAAUGCUAAAAGGAUUCCGAUCCGCCAUUAUUUGCUGACUUCAUGUUAAAAGACAUUGCACAAGAUAUUUCUUGCUGUAUAAAGGAUGUUAGACAUCACUCCUAUACUUAUAGAACAACCAACAAGAAAUUUUGUUAGCACUUUCUGAAGAAAGAGUUAAGGAAGAACAAUCUACAUUGUUAAUUUUGGUAUUUAAAUAACAAAAUUCCAAGGAAAGAGCAUUUGCACUGGGAAUAUAAAGAAAAUAAUAAAAGGCCUAUUAUAGAUCUAAAGUCA